rnacentral:rRNA from 1 species
AACGAACGCUGGCGGCAGGCUUAACACAUGCAAGUCGAACGCACCCUUCGGGGUGAGUGGCAGACGGGUGAGUAACGCGUGGGAACGUGCCCUUCAGUUCGGAAUAACCCAGGGAAACUUGGGCUAAUACCGGAUACGUCCGAAAGGAGAAAGAUUGAUCGCUGAAGGAUCGGCCCGCGUCUGAUUAGCUAGUUGGUGAGGUAAUGGCUCACCAAGGCGACGAUCAGUAGCUGGUCUGAGAGGAUGAUCAGCCACAUUGGGACUGAGACACGGCCCAAACUCCUACGGGAGGCAGCAGUGGGGAAUAUUGGACAAUGGGCGCAAGCCUGAUCCAGCCAUGCCGCGUGAGUGAUGACGGCCUUAGGGUUGUAAAGCUCUUUCGCACGCGACGAUAAUGACGGUAGCGUGAGAAGAAGCCCCGGCUAACUUCGUGCCAGCCGCCGCCGUAACAC